GGGCACUAUUACAUGUUCCCAGUAUAAAACUCAGGCAACAUCAAUUUGAAGGCAGGAAAACUGAAGAAAUCCCCACAGAUUUAAAAAAGAAGUGGAGGGCAUGGCCGUGUAGCAUUUAGGUACCACAUAAAUGCCACGUGUUUACCUACCUCGAGUUCUCUGAAGGCAGGCCCUGGGCUAAAUGCACAUCUUUUACAAUGCCCAACCUGAUGUUUCUCAUUCUGACUGUGGUGCUGGGCCCUGAUUUUGAUCCCUGCUGUCAUUUCUCAGGUCCCACAAAACUGAGACAAGAUGGUGUGUGCUGGCGGGGGUGGCGGAGGGAGGGUGGGGACUUGGAAACAUUGUUUUCCUUGAGUAAACAGCAACUGCCACCAUCUGUGCAGACAGAGAUCCAGAAACAAACACUCUCGGCCUGUGGCUUUGACUCUUCCAUUGGCACCUCUGAAAACCAACCCAAGUAGCAGACUCUCCCAGUCCACAGUGCUUUGGGGAUCGCUGUGUCAAGCUGCUCCACUGUUUAGUAGUUUCUCUAAGGGGGAAGCCACGACAGCGAAGUCUAACAGAGCAGAGACCAGCCAAAAACACACAGUUGAUCAGUGAAGCUCUCUCUGAGGUCUCACGUGGCUUUUAACUGCUUUGCCCCAGAUUCCUGGCCAAUCCCUAGGGUUCUGGAUUUUUCACUAGACUCAGCUGCUUCUCUUUGGCAUUUCUAUCAACUGGAUUUGCAUUACCUGACCUUGGUCCCUCCUUUUCCUUUGUUUUCAUCUUAUGAAGAAAUACAGUAUAAUAUAAAGCAGUUAAGAGCUUAAACUGGAGCCAAACUGUCCCACUUCAGAUCCUCACUCCUACUUAACCCCUAGCUGAGUGACGUCAAGCAAAUCACCUCACCACUCUGUGCCUGCUCCUCAUUUGUCAAAUGGGGAUGUUAAGAGUCCCUAAUUUGGGGGGCUGGCCCGGUGGUGCAGUGGUUAAGUUCGCACGUUCCGCUUCUUGGCAGCCUGGGGUUUGCCAGUUCAAAUCCCAGAUGCAGACAUGGCACCACUUGGCACGCCAUGCUGUGGUAGGCAUCCCACAUAUAAAAUACAGGAAGAUGGGCAAGGAUGUUAGCUCAGGGCCAGUCUUCCUCAGCAAAAAAGGAGGAGGAUUGGCAGCAGAUGUUAGCUCAGGGCUAAUCUUCCUCAAAAAAAAAAAAAAUAGAAUUCCUAAUUCAUAGGGUUGCUAUGAGGAUUACAUAAGUUAACAAUUACAAAGCACUUCAAAAAAUGUCUAGCACGUGUUUGCUAAAUAUAAUAAAAAUUGUGGUUUUAGCAUGUGAAGAAUAGAGUAUUCCCAAAUAUUAGGAUGGAAGUAGACAUUAAAGGUUGAACUCUAUGAACCAUAAAAUCCCUCCAGUCCUGAGUUUUUAUGCUCCUGUGAGGAUCAUCAAUACUUCUCCAGACUCAUUUCCAUGCUGUUCUGAUUCCCACAUCUGGAACCUUGCUCCUAUGUAGCAACAGCCAAAUACUUUAAGGUUCAAGCUGAGAAGUUAUAAUAAAAUGUUUGUUAUUUAUACUGUAAAAGUUAAUUAGGAAUUCUUUAAUGAAAGUUUUACCUUUUUUGGAUAUGGAUUAGGGAAAUGGUCGGUACAGAUAGCUAAGAUAUGGUAUUAACCAAUGUAAAACUCAAGAGUUGUUUGAAAGCCGAAAAUGAUCUUUCAACUGUCUGAGAAAUGAGCUGUCAGGAGGCCUGAGGCCCAGCCUGAGCCCCUCUACUACCCGGCUAUGAAGCUUUGCCCCUCUCUCUGCCUGCUUCUCCUCUGUAAAGUAACUGCAGCAGGUUUCUUUACACAUUGAAUAAAAAAGUAAAACAAAAACUCAGCACUGAGAUAGAAUUGAGAGAAAAGUUUAUGUCUUAGAGAAGAACAGAACAAGAAGUAGAUUACUUUAUGUUAGAAUAAAAGCAUUUAAAAAUAAUUUGGAUGCCUUCAUUGCAGCGUGGAAUUAGGAGGCAGCCUAGAGGGCUCAGAACCCUGUUCUUGGAUUGGUUUACUCCACCAGGACCAACGCUGUACACCCAGCAGGAUACCCGGGAACGCUGCAUGAACAGCCAUGCUGUCACGUGCAGCAUGAACGAAUGGCUGUGCAUUCCCUAGUAACCACACACGGUGUAAUAAUUUUGAUGAGUUUGUAGGUUAAAUAUCUGAUACCAGGCAUCAAUAAAGAAUGUUAGCUCUACUUCCAUUUUUACAAGUGAGAAAUUGAAAGAACUCGUCAAAAAGUUACCUGGUGUUUUUUGCUGGCUUAUGAGACUUCUAAAACAUAACACAUAGUGCCACAUAGCAGAUGGACAAAAGCCUCCCUUGGGGGGGUAAGGUGGCGUCCUGCUAAUUUAGCUUUUGUCGGGAUCCGACUUUAAGAAGCUGUGAAAUAACCUGUCUUUUCUAUAUAGAAGCCCUGAUUCACUCUCCCUCUCCACCUUCUAAACAGUGGGCAUGACCAGUCUCUCUGCCACAGGAUCCCCUCUAGGUAGGGAACAGUAUAGCACUGUUCCUGCUCCAGGGCCAUUGAUCAAAGAACGCCGAAUGCGACACUAAGAUGAUUUCAGCUUGUAUUUAAGGGACACCCUCUAAGCCCCAUGUCCAGGAAGGCCAUGAGCACAAGGGGUGCCAUACCAGACACUGGUUAUGGGGCUGCCCCACGUAGAACUCCCAGGGAAGUUCAUUUCGUGCCCUCUCAGCCUUCUACUUCUUAUCCCAACCCGGUGGGGGUUUUUGGGGAUU
ensembl:lncRNA